rnacentral:rRNA from 1 species
GUAGAGCACUCCUACGGGAGGCAGCAGUGGGGAAUAUUGCACAAUGGGCGCAAGCCUGAUGCAGCCAUGCCGCGUGUAUGAAGAAGGCCUUCGGGUUGUAAAGUACUUUCAGCAGUGAGGAAGGUGGGUAUGUUAAUAGCAUAUUCAUUUGACGUUAGCUGCAGAAGAAGCACCGGCUAACUCCGUGCCAGCAGCCGCGGUAAUACGGAGGGUGCGAGCGUUAAUCGGAAUUACUGGGCGUAAAGCGCAUGCAGGUGGUUUGUUAAGUCAGAUGUGAAAGCCCGGGGCUCAACCUCGGAAUUGCAUUUGAAACUGGCAAACUAGAGUACUGUAGAGGGGGUAGAAUUUCAGGUGUAGCGGUGAAAUGCGUAGAGAUCUGAAGGAAUACCGGUGACGAAGGCGGCCCCCUGGACAGAUACUGACACUCAGAUGCGAAAGCGUGGGGAGCAAACAGGAUUAGAUACCCUGGUAG